CCAAUAGCGUAUAUUAAAGUUGUUGCAGUUAAAAAGCUCGUAGUUGAAUUUCAGGCCUGGCUGGACGGUCCGCCCUUCGGGUGAGUACUGUCUGUGGUCGGGUCCUACCUUCUGGCGAAGCGUCAUGGCCUUAACCGGCCGUGGCGGGGAACCAGGACUUUUACUGUGAAAAAAUUAGAGUGUUCAAAGCAGGCAAUCGCUUGGAUACAUUAGCAUGGAAUAAUGGAAUAGGACAAUGGUUCUAUUUGUUGGUUUCUAGGACCGUUGUAAUGAUUAAUAGGGAUAGUUGGGGGCAUUAGUAUUCAAUUGUCAGAGGUGAAAUUCUUGGAUUUAUUGAAGACUAACUACUGCGAAAGCAUUUGCCAAGGAUGUUUUCAUUAAUCAAGAACGAAAGUUAGGGGAUCGAAGACGAUCAGAUACCGUCGUAGUCUUAACCAUAAACUAUGCCGACUAGGAAUCGGGCGAUGUUGAAAAAAUGACGCGCUCGGCACCUCAUGGGAAACCAAAGUGUUUGGGUC
rnacentral:rRNA from 1 species